GAAGCAGAAAUUCACAGCAAAUCCAGAAAAGCAAUCUCCGAUUAGCAAAAAGAUAAACAAAGACAACCCAAAACCAGAUUAAGCAAAAAGGCAAAAUCGCCAUCCACCACAAACCUUGAUAAGCAGAAAAUCAAACCCAAAGCAAGGUACCACGCAAGCAACCAUAAAACACCCACAAACCACUACCAACAAUGCCAGAAAACCCUUUGGAGAAAGAAGCUUGAGACCUCGAGCAUAGAGGCCAAAACCUCACCGCCGGCGAUAAAAUCUAUAAACCAC
rnacentral:lncRNA from 1 species